ACACGUAGGGGGCGCGCGUUGUCCGGAAUGAUUGGGCGUAAAGGGCGCGUAGGCGGCGCGGUAAGUCUGGAGUGAAAGUCCUGCUUUCAAGGUGGGAAUUGCUUUGGAUACUGCCGCGCUUGAGUGCAGGAGAGGUUAUCGGAAUUCCCGGUGUAGCGGUGAAAUGCGUAGAGAUCGGGAGGAACACCAGUGGCGAAGGCGGGUAACUGGACUGCAACUGACGCUGAGGCGCGAAAGUGUGGGGAGCAAACAGGAUUAGAUACCCUGGUAGUCCACACUGUAAACGAUGAAUGCUAGGUGUAAGAGGUAUCGACCCCUUUUGUGCCGGAGUCAACACAAUAAGCAUUCCGCCUGGGGAGUACGGCCGCAAGGUUGAAACUCAAAUGAAUUGACGGGG
rnacentral:rRNA from 1 species